rnacentral:rRNA from 1 species
GACGAACGCUGGCGGCGUGCUUAACACAUGCAAGUCGAACGGAAAGGCCCUGCUUUUGUGGGGUGCUCGAGUGGCGAACGGGUGAGUAACACGUGAGUACCUGCCCUUGACUUUGGGAUAACUUCAGGAAACUGGGGCUAAUACCGGAUAGGAGCUCCUGCUGCAUGGUGGGGGUUGGAAAGUUUCGGCGGUUGGGGAUGGACUCGCGGCUUAUCAGCUUGUUGGUGGGGUAGUGGCUUACCAAGGCUUUGACGGGUAGCCGGCCUGAGAGGGUGACCGGCCACAUUGGGACUGAGAUACGGCCCAGACUCUUACGGGAGGCAGCAGUGGGGAAUAUUGCACAAUGGGCGGAAGCCUGAUGCAGCAACGCCGCGUGCGGGAUGACGGCCUUCGGGUUGUAAACCGCUUUCGCCUGUGACGAAGCGUGAGUGACGGUAAUGGGUAAAGAAGCACCGGCUAACUACGUG